rnacentral:lncRNA from 1 species
UAUAUAUAUAUAUAUAUAUAUAUAGAACUAAGCUGGAAUACUAUCAGUAGCACAAAGCUAUUGGUGCUAUUGAUUUUUUAGCCAUUGGAUUAAGAAAUGGGUGGUUAGGAUGAUGUGGGUCCCAUAGGGUUGAGUGAGUGGUUGGUUGAAUAGUAUAAUUUGACGAGUAAAAAUAAUCAAAGGGUUAAAUCUAACAGUGAAAAACUCGAUAGCAUCAAAUUCUUGGUGCUAUCGAUAGUAUCCCAGUUGGACUAUAUACAUAUAUAUAUAUAGAGUGGGCUGCUAUGCUUAUGGAAUUAUGGAGGCCUCCGUGCUUCAAAGUUGUUUUCGAUGUUUGGAUUUUCGAAUCGACGGUCGGAUCCGUUAGAGUUGAUCUAGAGUAUUUGAAGUACCUAGAAAAUAAAUUUUGCGAUUUUUCAAUAUCAUUUGCCUAGUGAUCGAAGGGGUUCAAAAUCAAUAAUUUUAAUGGCCGUGGUGAGCCGGUUGCAAGUGUAACGGUGUAGAAAUAUCCAAAUCACGUGAAAUUUUGAUAGAAAAUUCUUUAUACUAUAUAAAAUAAGAUCAAUAUCUUUGAUCUAAAUUUUUAAUGUCAUAUCAUCACAUUUUGUGAGAUUUUUAUUUUCAGCCGUUGAUUUUGAGCCCCUUCGAUCACUAGGCAAAUGAUAUCGAAAAAUCGCAAAAUUUAUUUUCUAGNN